ACAAACAGCCAACGAGGCUCCCUCAAUCUCGAUCUAUUUCAUCUCAGCCUCCAGCCCCGAGAGGAGCCGCCGCCGCCGCCGAGAGGAGACGCCCCAGCCCCAAGAGGAGCCACCGCCGCCGCCGAGAGAAGACGCCCCAGCCCCGAGAGGAGCCGCCGGGGAACGAGGUCGCCGCCGCCUCCAGGUGGCCGCCGUCACGCACCGCCUCCUCCAGGUCGCCGCCGUCACACACUGCCUCAGGUCCGUUGAUCUCUCUCCUCCUCGCCACUCCUCACUACCAGCCCCGCACAGCUCUGCCUCCACGGCGGGGAUUCACUCUAUGGCGUUCAAGAGAGGUGGCUGCAGCCGCCAUGCUGCCGAUCCGGUCCUUGCUGCUGGAUCCGGCUCUCUCCACCCCUCCUCCCGGUCCGAUCCAAUGGCGACAGAUGCGGUUGGUGCGCGCGGGUCAGAGGAUGGACGAGCUCUUGUCCUUCAUAAUCCACUCCUAGACUGUUUCGUGGUGGCAGCGCUCCGUCCGACGUUUGCCCUCCAUCAUCCACUCCUUCCUCAAUGAUUUUGUGAUAGGGACCAUGGCGAUCGGACUUGCGGGCGACGCGACUACAGGACGUAAUUGAGCAUAUGCUAUAUUGGAAUCGAAGAGGACCUAACGGGGAAUAUGUAGAGGCGCUCAUCGGGCUAGGGGAGGCUCUACAGCGGCUGAAUCAGUCAGAGGCGAUCGUCGGGCAGAGGGGCGAAGUUGUGGUCGAUGGCAUCAUCUCGGCGCUCUUCUGCUCAAAUGCUUCUGCGGAGAGACACUGCGAGGCCUGGUGAUGCUUGUGGACACGAAGGCGCGGCAAUUCUUCGGCGGUGCUCACACGGACGAUCAACGGCGGCUACGGCUGUGCACUCGGGCAAGCUUGAGAUCGAGCGCUAGAGGAGAGGGAGAGAGCUCCAGAGCAACGGGAAAGUGAGAGGGGGUGCAGGGCAUCUCCCAGACGAGCGGAUGGGGACGAGGACGUGGGGGACAGCGCUAAGCAGGAGGUGGCAGCAGGGUGAGCCCGCGCGACACGCCUCUGCCUACAGGCAGACGUUCAAGAAGACCUGGCUGUGGGCUGGCUUGGCUUCAGGUGAUUGCUCACAACAUUGGCCUAGGGUGACAAGACGUUAGGUUAUUGCUCCCUACAUUACAGUCUUUGGCCAAAGGGAAUCCACGACUUGCUCUAAGGUUUGUGAUGGUAAGGGAAAUGUUUGCUCUUCGAAGUUCAAAAUGAGUAGCGUCCUAUCAUAAAUGAGCUUUAGCUCACACUUAAGAAGUCGUCCAGUUAUUACUUUAUGUCUUGAUCAUAACAAUUAUUUCUACCGAAAGCAUAUGGUCUCAAAUUGAUAUUGCAAAUGGUACUACAAAAUCAUAUCCAUUUUCCCCAAGAUCACAUGUUGUAUCCUGUUUAGCAUGUAACAAGGCAAUGCUGAUUUCUAAUUUCAGUUAUCUAUGCUUGUAGCCAUUAGUUGUAUCAAAGCGGCAUUUGCAACUCUCCUUGAUGGAAAUAAUUAGUGCCGCCCGCUGGAGCAUAUGGAAUUGCCGUCCUUCUUGCAAGUGUUCUGUUUCAAUAUGUAAAUGAAUGGAGAAGUACCAAUUAAUGGCUACUGAAUAAACUACAUCAGUUGGAAAGACACUAACUAGAAAGAAAACAUGCAUAGGAAGAGGUUAAAGGAAGAGGACAAAGGAAGAAGUUAUUUUAUUUUCUUCUAACUAUGGAAUGGUGUACGGAAAAAGUCAUCUUUCCAGUAUUUAUAUUUUGGAAUGUCCUCUUAUUUGUUGUUGUACUGUCCGUCCUAUCAAGUAGCUGCUCGUGAUCGACGUGCUUACUAUUACUAUUGUUGUCGUCAUGUCUAUCGCAGAUCACGGGUUGCAAGUUUGAGUACCUUCUCAAAUUAUGCAACUGAAUCUAUCUACUCUAAGUCUGCAACCUAGAACUAACAUCUUAAUCUGGCCUACUACCUGUACAAUGACCAGGAAUUUAAUGGUGCACAACCUAUCCAUAUUGUUUUAUUUCUUGGUGAUAUUGAGAAAAAUGGAAAGGAAUAGGCGGUAUUUUCAAGUGAAACAACUAUGCGAGUGAGUGCUCAAAAAAGGAUAGACGCAGGGCAUGGUGAACUGCUUGCUUGAGUAUACAGGAACUAGAACAAGCACCUGAAGCGGGCAGCCGGGCUAGACUAGAGGUUCCUUGACACACUGCAGCGCGUGUUCUACAGCAACAAUGCCGGGCACGAAGCACUGGUGAAGAUGUGCGCAGACGAGCACAUGCAGCAGUGGAAGGUGCUUCACGGCGGUCGCCGUGUCGUCGGGUACAUCGGUAUACAGCUUCUCCUUCUGCAGAGUUCUCCUCUCCUUGUUGACAUGUGCUCUGCUUGACUAGCGUAGAUGCACUAAGCAGCUUUUUUUUCAUUUGGGGUGAUUCCCAGGGCUCCCAAGCUACUGAGGUAGUACACAAUUUUGAUGCUUUAGAUUUCUAUCUAUGUAGCCUACAUCUUAGCAUUAUGUAUGUGUAGUCUCCGAGAGUAAGGAAUAUAUUGUCCGGUUCAGUCACGUGGUGUGUAUUGGUGUUUAGAAUUCAGGCAUGUACUCAUUGAUGCUGAAAUUGAAAUCUGAAAGGCUGGUGGAGGAUGGUGUGGAGAGUGUCGCCGAACGUGGGUCUGUCCGGCUGUCACUACUGCUGGAGUUGCAGCGCCGGUACACAGAGAUCAACAGGAAGGUGGCCAUCGCCAGGACCCUCUUGAGCCUCAUGCAGGAGGACAUGUACGUACUAACAUAAACAAGAUGACAGAUAAGUUCUCUGCUCUUCAGCUCAAAGUGAUGGAGGUGAAUGCGUUGUUCACCAUGAAGCAGAAUCACUCCUCCAAAGACCUGUUAGGACAGCAAGGACAAGUGCACGAUGGUGCGCCGAAGCAUCACGGUGAACAUGGUAAUGUCAGGUUGUUGAUGGAGCGAUACAAAUUGGUUUGAAGGCCGGGUACUACGCCGCCGCCAAUAUUGCGCGCAAACAUUAUUGAGUACCGAUGGUGAGAUUUUCCAUUUCUUUAUCUUUUGUCCUUUUAAUCAAGAACAAUAUUGAGAUCGUACAUGGUUGUCCAAAUUUAGUUCUGUAAAGAGAAAUAUUGAUGUCAUGCAAUGAUCAGUGUGGUGUACGAUAGUUACAGACUUCUUCCUCUGUUCUCAUUGAGCAAAGAUUGGACGCGUGUGAUUUGUUCUACUACCAAGUCAAUCUUGGUCCAUAUUGUCAGAGUUUGCUUAUUGAGUUUUUUUGCUGCUAUUAGUAUUUUCAUUUAUGCAGAGGCUGGGUGUAAUGCUUAAACCUUUUAAGUAAUAAAGCGUCCUUCAUCGAAAAAACAGUAUUUUCAUUUAAACUGGAAGUUUAUGUGAAGAAGGGGCUGGAUUGAAAUGCAUGAAUUUAUGUUCCUAUUUUCUUUGGAAGAAUGAGAUGACCAGGAAGGUUGUAGCUACUCAUCGCCUCAUCGUUAAAAAAAGGUUGUACCUGCUCACAUAAUAUUCACACAUCAUCGGUGGCAUGGCAGUGGCCGGCGGAAGGAUGCUUCUGUUUGACACAGAAAUCUUAUUUUUCUAGCAACUACAAGAAAUCAGUGAAGCAGUAGGAAGUAGGAACUUGGUCCAGAAGAUUAUCUGAUGACCUAAUAUGCUAUCUGGUGCCUUUUAGUACGUAAUAAAUGUAACUUCUUCCGCAACAAGAAUAAGAAUGGGAGGCAUGUUACAGGUAGUUUUAUCCUGAGAAUUGGUCACCAUUCUGUAACCUUAAUACAAACAUAUAACUUGUGACAUAUCCAUGCAUAUAUGUGCUUUGCAAAUCGA